rnacentral:rRNA from 1 species
GAUGAACGCUGGCGGCGUGCCUAACACAUGCAAGUCGAACGAACAGACGAGGAGCUUGCUGCUCUGACGUUAGCCGCGCACGGGUGAGUAACACGUGUAUACCCUACCUAUAAGUCUGGGAUAUCCUCGGGAAACCGGAGCUAAUCCCGUAUAAUAUAUUGCUCCGUAUGGUUCAAUAGUGAAAGUCGGUUUUGCUGUCACUUCUCGAUGGUUCCGCGCCGCAUGAGCUAGUUGGUAAGGUAACGGCUUACUAAGGCAACGAUGCGUAGCCGAACUGAGAGAGUGUUCGGCCACACUGGAGGUGAGCCAGCGACCAGACGCCUACGGGAGGCAGCAGACGGGAAUCUUACGCAAUGGGCGGAAGUUUGACGGAGCAACGCGGCGUGAGAGAUGAAGGUGCUCGGAUCGUAAAACUCGGCUAUUAGGGAAAAACAAAUGUGUAAGUAACCAAGCAGGUAGUGACGGUACCUAAUCAGAAAGCCCCGGCUAACUACGUG